UACGUAGGGUGCAAGCGUUGUCCGGAAUUAUUGGGCGUAAAGGGCGCGUAGGCGGCCUGCUAAGUCGAACGUGAAAUCCCCGGGCUCAACCCGGGAACUGCGUCCGAUACUGGCAGGCUUGAAUCCGGGAGAGGGAUGUGGAAUUCCAGGUGUAGCGGUGAAAUGCGUAGAUAUCUGGAGGAACACCGGUGGCGAAGGCGGCAUCCUGGACCGGCAUUGACGCUGAGGCGCGAAAGCCAGGGGAGCAAACGGG
rnacentral:rRNA from 1 species